rnacentral:tRNA from 1 species
UCCCCGGUAGCUCAGUUGGUAGAGCGGUUGACUGUUAAUCAAUUGGUCGGUGGUUCGAGUCCGCCCCGGGGAGCCA